rnacentral:tRNA from 1 species
GUGGCUGUGGCUCAAUGGUAGAGCGCUUGCCUUGCAUGUAUGAGGCACUGGGUUCAAUUCUCAGCACCACA